GCCUGACGGAGCAAUACCGCGUGAGGGAUGACGGCCUAUGGGUUGUAAACCUCUUUUUUCAGGGAGGAACACAAUGACGUUACCUGAAGAAUAAGCAUCGGCUAACUCCGUGCCAGCAGCCGCGGUAAGACGGAGGAUGCAAGUGUUAUCCGGAAUCACUGGGCGUAAAGCGUCUGUAGGUGGUUUAAUAAGUCAACUGUCAAAUCUUGAGGCUCAACUUCAAAAUCGCAGUCGAAACUAUUAGACUAGAGUAUAGUAGGGGUAAAGGGAAUUUCCAGUGGAGCGGUGAAAUGCGUAGAGAUUGGAAAGAACACCGAUAGCGAAGGCACUUUACUGGGCUAUUACUAACACUCAGAGACGAAAGCUAGGGUAGCAAAUGGGAUUAGAUACCCCAGUAGUC
rnacentral:rRNA from 1 species